rnacentral:ncRNA from 2 species
GAAAACAUAAGCAAACGGCUUCGUAUAACCCCAUUAAUACGGUAUGGGGGUCUCUACCAGAAUCCGUAAAAUUCUGAUUACGAAGAGUUAAGCGCAGGUG